AAUAGUUACAAUAUGUAGAUGGGUUGU
rnacentral:piRNA from 1 species